GCCUUGGGUGGAGAGGAGGAGGAGGAGGAGGAGGGGGGGGCUACUCGCUCGGAGGAGAAAGCAAAAGCAUAAUCUGAAUUCAUUUACACCUAUUUACAUGGACACCUUGAGCCAAUAGAAAUGAUUUCCAUUUGAAGACAGAGCGAAGGGGUGAAAAGGCCCAGCGACCCACCGGAUUUGAAGUGUGAGGGUGGGUGAUGAAAGCCCGGUUACGCCGUGUGAAGGACAGGGAAAACAGGGGCCACGUAGCGGGGAGACAGGGAAGGAGAGGGGCUAGUGUCUCCUGCAACAGGGGGCUAUCAUUCAAUAAGACAGGACCUCCACACCUCUUCAUCCUGCAGCAGCUCACUGAUCCCAUAUGGAACAGAAGAGAAACAGCUGGCCGAGAGAGAGAUGGCUGAUCUAACAUUAGGCUGCUACCUGCAGGCAGACCUGUGUUUGUGUUACCAAGCGAGACAGACAGUGGCCAGCGUUCCAAAUGGCACCCAUGCUGGUGGUCGCAGCAAGAGGAGGGGGCAGUAAAUACCACCAGCGUUGUACAGGAGAAGAGGAGGGAGGCACUUCACGGGAACAGCCACAGGAACAGCCACAGGAACAGCAACAAGGUCAUUCACAGAUGGGGGGGGCUAUUUGAUGCUUCUCACAAAGAGGUGUAUAUUAAAAAAAAAUUCUAAGGUUAAAUUAUUUAGUUGUAUUUUGUUUGUUUUAUUAUAAAUGUACAUAUUUCCUCAACUACUGUACCUCAACUACCUCGGUACCCCUGCACAUCGACUCCCCUGGCACAUCGACUCGGUACCCCUGCACAUCGACUCAGUACCCCGGCACAUCGACUCUGUACCCCGGCACAUCGACUCUGUACCCCGGCACAUCGACUCGGUACCCCUGCACAUCGACUCCCCUGGCACAUCGACUCGGUACCCCUGCACAUCGACUCGGUACCCCGGCACAUCGACUCUGUACCCCGGCACAUCGACUCAGUACCCCGGCACAUCGACUCGGUACCCCGGCACAUCGACUCGGUACCCCUGCACAUCGACUCAGUACCCCUGCACAUCGACUCGGUACCCCUGCACAUCGACUCUGUACCCCUGCACAUUGACUCUGUACCCCGGCACAUCGACUCUGUACCCCGGCACAUUGACUCUGUACCCCGGCACAUUGACUCAGUACCCCGGCACAUUGACUCAGUACCCCGGCAGAUUGACUCAGUACCCCGGCACAUUGACUCGGUAACCCUGUACAUUGACUCAGUACCCUGGCACAUUGACUCAGUACCCCGGCACAUUGACUCAGUACCCCGGCACAUUGACUCAGUACCCCGGCACAUCGACUCUGUACCCCGGCACAUUGACUCUGUACCCCGGCACAUUGACUCGGUAACCCUGUACAUUGACUCAGUACCCCGGCACAUUGACUCAGAACCCCGGCACAUUGACUC
rnacentral:lncRNA from 1 species